rnacentral:rRNA from 1 species
AUUGAACGCUGGCGGCAUGCCUUACACAUGCAAGUCGAACGGCAGCACGGGUGCUUGCACCUGGUGGCGAGUGGCGAACGGGUGAGUAAUACAUCGGAACAUGUCCUGUAGUGGGGGAUAGCCCGGCGAAAGCCGGAUUAAUGCCGCAUACGAUCUACGGAUGAAAGCGGGGGACCUUCGGGCCUCGCGCUAUAGGGUUGGCCGAUGGCUGAUUAGCUAGUUGGUGGGGUAAAGGCCUACCAAGGCGACGAUCAGUAGCUGGUCUGAGAGGACGACCAGCCACACUGGGACUGAGACACGGCCCAGACUCCUACGGGAGGCAGCAGUGGGGAAUUUUGGACAAUGGGCGAAAGCCUGAUCCAGCAAUGCCGCGUGUGUGAAGAAGGCCUUCGGGUUGUAAAGCACUUUUGUCCGGAAAGAAAUCCUUGGCCCUAAUACGGUCGGGGGAUGACGGUACCGGAAGAAUAAGCACCGGCUAACUACGUG